CAGUAGCCGCGGUAAUACGUAGGGUGCGAGCGUUAAUCGGAAUUACUGGGCGUAAAGCGUGCGCAGGCGGUUUUGUAAGACAGGCGUGAAAUCCCCGGGCUCAACCUGGGAAUGGCGCUUGUGACUGCAAAGCUAGAGUGCGGCAGAGGGGGAUGGAAUUCCGCGUGUAGCAGUGAAAUGCGUAGAUAUGCGGAGGAACACCGAUGGCGAAGGCAAUCCCCUGGGCCUGCACUGACGCUCAUGCGCGAAAGCGUGGGGAGCAAACAGGAUUAGAUACCCCUGUAGUCCCUGUCUCUUAUAC
rnacentral:rRNA from 1 species